UACGUAGGGUGCGAGCGUUGUCCGGAAUUACUGGGCGUAAAGAGCUCGUAGGCGGCUUGUCGCGUUGUUCGUGAAAAUUUACCGCUCAACGGUGAACUUGCGGGCGAUACGGGCAGGCUAGAGUACUGCAGAGGAGACUGGAAUUCCUGGUGUAGCGGUGAAAUGCGCAGAUAUCAGGAGGAACACCGGUGGCGAAGGCGGGUCUCUGGGCAGUAACUGACGCUGAGGAGCGAAAGCGUGGGGAGCGAACAGG
rnacentral:rRNA from 1 species